UGCAAGUCGAACGGUGAAGGUGGAGCUUGCUCUGCUGGAUCAGUGGCGAACGGGUGAGUAACACGUGAGCAAUCUGCCCCUGACUCUGGGAUAAGCGCUGGAAACGGCGUCUAAUACCGGAUAUGAACUGCGAAGGCAUCUUCAGUAGUUGGAAAGAAUUUCGGUCAGGGAUGAGCUCGCGGCCUAUCAGCUUGUUGGUGAGGUAAUGGCUCACCAAGGCGUCGACGGGUAGCCGGCCUGAGAGGGUGACCGGCCACACUGGGACUGAGACACGGCCCAGACUCCUACGGGAGGCAGCAGUGGGGAAUAUUGCACAAUGGGCGCAAGCCUGAUGCAGCAACGCCGCGUGAGGGAUGACGGCCUUCGGGUUGUAAACCUCUUUUAGCAAGGAAGAAGCGAAAGUGACGGUACUUGCAGAAAAAGCGCCGGCUAACUACGUGCCAGCAGCCGCGGUAAUACGUAGGGCGCAAGCGUUAUCCGGAAUUAUUGGGCGUAAAGAGCUCGUAGGCGGUUUGUCGCGUCUGCUGUGAAAACUGGAGGCUCAACCUCCAGCCUGCAGUGGGUACGGGCAGACUAGAGUGCGGUAGGGGAGAUUGGAAUUCCUGGUGUAGCGGUGGAAUGCGCAGAUAUCAGGAGGAACACCGAUGGCGAAGGCAGAUCUCUGGGCCGUAACUGACGCUGAGGAGCGAAAGGGUGGGGAGCAAACAGGCUUAGAUACCCUGGUAGUCCA
rnacentral:rRNA from 1 species